CCGAAAACUUAAAUGGGUCGACACGAACCCGAACCCGAAAUUAAAUGGGUCAGGUUAAGGUUGAAAAUCUCAACCCGAAAACGACCCACUUAAACCGAAAUAAAUUUUAGGUCAUAAUCAGGUCGGGUCAACCCGAACCCGACCUGAUAACCCGAAUUAGUUUAAGUUUUAAAAAAAAAAACGUAAAAAGCUUUUAUUAGCCCAGCCCAAAUGCACAAAGAGGCUUCCUAUAUAAAUUCAAAACCCUAAAAUAAUCUCAUUUCCCCUCACCUCUUCAGCUGUUUUUCCCCUCACUUCUCUCUCUUUAAUUUUCUCUCUCCUUAAAAACUCAUUAUAUUGUUGAAUUUUCUCUUUAAUUUCCUUCAGCCGUUUACCAUUGUCAAUUUGUCAUCUCCUUCACGGCUUGACUCCUUCACUCCUCCACAAGACGCGUUCCUUAAUUCUUCUCCUUCAUCAAUCAAGGUUUGGCAGCAAGAAGUAAUCACCCAUGUUCAAUUGGAAAUGUUGUGGAUCAAUUUUAAAGCUUGAGGUGGUGAACAAGGAUGACAACCAUGAUAGAUUGACAGUCUCAACAUCGCCCGAUCUUAAUCCAAAUGAAAAUCUUAUUGCAUCUUCUAUUAUUUUAUAGAACUGUAAUUUGUGUUAAAAAAAACUUUUGUCUUUUGAAACUUGGUUUGUAAUUAGUGAAUUGCACUUUUUAUCGGUUUAUAAUCGUUAAUUAGGAUUGUUA